GGCAAAGCAAAGACGAUAUUUGAUAAAUGAUGUAUUGAUGAGUCGUACUGUGUGAGACUGCUAUUGGUUAAAUCAGUGAGGAAGAAGACUUAUCUCUGAAAUGAAAACUUCAAUCAAGUUCACACUCCUCUCCCUUACUGUGAUGAGCUGUGUGAGGUGUGAGGAAAUCACAGUGAGAGGACAUGAGGGAGGAGAUGCUGUCCUCAACUGUCCAUAUCAGAAGGGUGAUGAGUC